UGGGGAAUAUUGGACAAUGGGGGAAACCCUGAUCCAGCAAUGCCGCGUGAGUGAAGAAGGCCUUAGGGUUGUAAAUCUCUUUUGUCAGGGAAGAUGAUGACGGUACCUGACGAAUAAGUCCCGGCUAACUCCGUGCCAGCAGCCGCGGUAAUACGGAGGGGGCUAGCGUUGUUCGGAAUUACUGGGCGUAAAGGGCGUGUAGGCGGUAUAUCAAGUCAGGCGUGAAAGCCCUGGGCUCAACCUAGGAUGUGCGCAUGAGACUGAUAAACUAGAGAUCGGGAGAGGAGAGUAGAAUUUCCAGUGUAGAGGUGAAAUUCGUAGAUAUUGGAAGGAAUACCAGUGGCGAAGGCGGCUCUCUGGACCGAAUCUGACGCUGAGGCGCGAAAGCGUGGGGAGCAAACAGG
rnacentral:rRNA from 1 species